rnacentral:rRNA from 1 species
GCUCAGAACGAACGUUGGCGGCGUGGAUUAGGCAUGCAAGUCGGGGGAAUCCCGCAAGGGGGAACCGGCGUAAGGGGCAGUAAGGCAUGGGUACCUACCUUUGGGUUCGCAUAGCCAUCAGAGAUGGUGGGUAAUACCGGAUGAUGUCGUGAGACCAAAGAUUUAUCGCCCGGAGAGGGGCCCAUGUGAUAUUAGCUUGUUGGUGAGGUAACGGCUCACCAAGGCUAAGAUGUCUAGCGGGUGUGAGAGCACGACCCGCGCCACUCGCACUGAGACACUGGCGAGACACCUACGGGUGGCUGCAGUCGAGGAUCUUCGGCAAUGAGCGCAAGCUUGACCGAGCGACGCCGCGUGAGCGAUGAAGGCCUUCGGGUUGUAAAGCUCUUUAGUGGGGGAGAAAAGCCCGUAAGGGUGUGAUCUAUCCCAAAAAUAAGCACGGGCUAAGUUCGUGCCAGCAGCCGCGGUAAGACGAACCGUGCGAACGUUGUUCGGAAUCACUGGGCUUAAAGGGCGCGUAGGCGGGCUGUCAAGUCUGGGGUGAAAUGCCGCGGCUCAACCGUGGAACUGCCUUAGAUACUGACGGCCUCGAGGGAGGUAGGGGCGUGCGGAACUGUAGGUGGAGCGGUGUAAUGCGUUGAUAUCUACAGGAACUCCGGUGGCGAAAGCGGCGCGCUGGACCUCUUCUGACGCUGAGGCGCGAAAGCUAGGGGAGCAAACGGGAUUAGAUACCCCGGUAGUCCUAGCCCUAAACGAUGGGUACUAGAUAGUGGACUAGAUAUGGGUUUACUGUCGAAGCUAAAGUGCUAGGUACCCCGCCUGG